UACGUAGGGUGCAAGCGUUAAUCGGAAUUACUGGGCGUAAAGCGUGCGCAGGCGGUUGUGCAAGACCGAUGUGAAAUCCCCGGGCUUAACCCUGGGAAUGGCAUUGGUGACUGCACGGCUAGAGUGUGUCAGAGGGGGGUAGAAUUCCACGUGUGAGCAGUGAAAUGCGUAGAGAUGUGGAGGAAUACCGAUGGCGAAGGCAGCCCCUGGGAUAACACUGACGCCUGC
rnacentral:rRNA from 1 species